rnacentral:misc_RNA from 1 species
UCGNAUACGUUNUGUCGACCUGCGGAAGGAUCAUUACUGAUUUGCUUAAUUGCACCACAUGUGUUUUUCUAUUGAAACAAACUUGCUUUGGCGGUGGGCCCAGCCUGCCGCCAGAGGUCUAAACUUACAACCAAUUUUUUAUCAACUUGUCACACCAGAUUAUUACUAAUAGUCAAAACUUUCAACAACGGAUCUCUUGGUUCUCGCAUCGAUGAAGAACGCAGCGAAAUGCGAUACGUAAUAUGAAUUGCAGAUAUUCGUGAAUCAUCGAAUCUUUGAACGCACAUUGCGCCCUCUGGUAUUCCGGAGGGCAUGCCUGUUUGAGCGUCGUUUCUCCCUCAAACCGCUGGGUUUGGUGUUGAGCAAUACGACUUGGGUUUGCUUGAAAGACGGUAGUGGUAAGGCGGGAUCGCUUUGACAAUGGCUUAGGUCUAACCAAAAACAUUGCUUGCGGCGGUAACGUCCACCACGUAUAUCUUCAAACUUUGACCUCAAAUCAGGUAGGACUACCCGCUGAACUUAAGCAUAUCAAUAAGCGGAGGAA